UGAUUUAAUUAACUUGGAAAACACGGGUAAACGGAAGGGAAGGGACAUGGGAUGCGAGUCCAGUUGAGGAAGUGGGUAAAUGGAAUGAAUGGCGGGGCCGGCUGGUAUGUGUUUUCGAGUUCGAGGAAAAAGACCCAAAUACACACAUCUGAAUCCUGACCUAUCCUACUUUCUGCUCGGACUCGGAGGCUCGUAGCGUUUACAAUCAGCUGCUCGGUUCAAGCUUCCGACUCGAAUCAACAUGGCAGAAGGUGAGCAUGGGUCGCCUAGACCGGCAGCGUCGCCGUAUGAUGAAGCUUUGGACGCCCUGUCGUCCCUGAUUACUAAACGCAGUCGCGCCGACAAGAGCAACGAUGGCGACCGCUUCGAUUUUCUUUUUGAUUAUAUCAAGAUACUGGACUUGGAGGACCCAAUUUCGAAAAUGAAGUUUAUUCAUGUGGCAGGCACCAAAGGAAAGGGAUCGACAUGUACAUUUGCCGAGUCUAUAUUACAUAAUUGUGGUUUCCACACUGGACUUUUCACAUCUCCUCAUCUGAUUGAUGUCCGAGAAAGAUUUCGACUGGAUGGUGCAGACAUAGGUGAAGAGAAAUUUCUUGCAUAUUUCUGGUGGUGUUGGGCCAGAUUGAAGGAAUAUACCGGUGAUGAUUUACCAAUGCCUACUUACUUCCGCUUUCUUGCUUUACUCGCCUUCAAGAUAUUUGCUGCGGAACAGGUGGAUGUUGCUAUCUUGGAGGUUGGGUUAGGUGGAAAGUUUGAUGCUACAAAUGUGGUACAGAAGCCAAUCGUAUGUGGUAUAUCUUCCUUAGGGUAUGAUCACAUGGAAAUUCUCGGUAAUACUCUUGGAGAAAUUGCAGGAGAGAAGGCUGGCAUUUUUAAGCAAGGAGUUCCAGCCUUUACUGUGCCCCAACCUGAUGAAGCAAUGUCCGUACUUCAAGAAAAAGCUUCCCAGUUAGAUGUACAGCUGCAAAUAGCAUCUCCAUUGGAUAUGAAUUUGUUGAGUGGUCUACAUCUUGGGCUUGAUGGUGAGCACCAAUAUCUUAAUGCUGGUCUUGCUGUUGCUUUAUGCUCUACUUGGCUUCAAAGGACCAGUCACAUUGAAGUUAACUACUUGGAUCCAACUAGUUCUCUGCGUGAACAAUUCCUUAAAGGACUUACAACUGCUACUUUACAAGGACGGGCUCAGAUUGUCUCUGAUAGGUUGAUUGAUGUUGAAAGCCCAGGGUGUCUGGUGUUUUAUUUGGAUGGAGCCCAUAGUCCUGAAAGCAUGGAAGUAUGUGCAAAAUGGUUUUGUUCUGCCAUAAGAGAAGAGAACCAACAGCACAGUUUGAGAAAUGUAUGGCAUGAUAGAUCCAGUGUUUCACAUGACACAGUAGAUAAUUACUACCAUGAAACUCCUUGGCAGUACUCCACACAGAUUCUAUUGUUCAAUUGUAUGUCAGUAAGGGACCCACAGUUGCUUCUUCCGCGCCUGGGUACAACAUGUUCUAAUAAUGGAGUACACUUCAAGAAGGCUCUGUUCGUGCCAAACAUAUCUGUCUAUAAUAAAGUGUCUUCUGGUGCCUUACCAUCAACAAUUGAAACCCAAGUUGACCUCUCAUGGCAAUUGACGCUUCAAAAAGUAUGGGAGAACAUCAUUUCUAGUGAAAAAGGAGGGGAUGCCAGAAAUUUGGACUUCAUUUGUGAAGAAAGUGAAGAUGACAACAAGAAGUAUGUAGAGAAUUGUGAGAACAGCAUAGUUUUUGCUUCGCUUCCCUUGGCUAUGAAAUGGCUGCAGGACACUGUUCGGCAGAAUAAAUCUGUUCGUUUUCAGGUGCUUGUCACUGGUUCUUUACAUCUUGUGGGUGAUGUAUUAAGAUUAGUCAAGAAGUGAGACAUGGAAUUGGUACGCAUUUACUCACAUGUAUUAAGACGGUUGCAUUAAUUCCCAAACAGUCAACAUAUUUGUACGGGUGCCUAUGGAACAAAUUUUCCCUAGUGUUGUGAAUUAUACAAUUUCAACAGCCUCUCUCUCUCUCUGAAUUCCUUGUCCAACCUUGUUGACCAAGAUGGAGUGGAGGGUACUUAUCAAGCCCAUUCAGAAAGGCUGCUCAAACAUCCUCUGAAUGGUUGUAAGUAAAGGUUUUGGUCUUUCAAAACAGGUCUCUGAAUACCUUUAUGUUUUUUGUUAUAAUCCGAGUUUUGUAGCUGUUCUGGGUGGCGUCAGAGUUGCAAGUUUUGUCGAGUUUUGCUGCAUCCUGAAGAUAAUGUCCUUUAUUGCUAGGCAGCAAACUCAUAGUUGUUGUUUUUUGAAUAUGCUUUAAUAAGACAUUGUAAGUUAUGUUUGAUGAAAUAAGAUGAAUAGUAAUUAAUACCUAGGGAUGUAUUAGGUUGUUCAUCUUGGAAGAAGGUUUCUCACCUGCUAAGAGGGGCAGAACUCUAGCCUGAAUUUUGUUUUGAUCUUCAUCGCA